rnacentral:rRNA from 1 species
CCUACGGGGGUGCAGCAGUGGGGAAUAUUGGACAAUGGGCGAAAGCCUGAUCCAGCCAUGCCGCGUGUGUGAAGAAGGCCUUCGGGUUGUAAAGCACUUUCAGUGGGGAAGAAAGCCUUGGGGCUAAUACCCUCGAGGAAGGACAUCACCCACAGAAGAAGCACCGGCUAACUCCGUGCCAGCAGCCGCGGUAAUACGGAGGGUGCGAGCGUUAAUCGGAAUUACUGGGCGUAAAGCGCGCGUAGGCGGUCUGAUAAGCCGGUUGUGAAAGCCCCGGGCUCAACCUGGGAACGGCAUCCGGAACUGUCAGGCUAGAGUGCAGGGGAGGAAGGUAGAAUUCCCGGUGUAGCGGUGAAAUGCGUAGAGAUCGGGAGGAAUACCAGUGGCGAAGGCGGUCUUCUGGACUGACACUGACGCUGAGGUGCGAAAGCGUGGGUAGCAAACAGGAUUAGAUACCCUAGUAGUC